AGACUGCCACCAUUACGAGGCCGACCGCCAUUGCCAGUCUCUCCACCACUGCCACCAUGAGUGCCAUUCAGG
rnacentral:SRP_RNA from 1 species